rnacentral:rRNA from 1 species
AGGCAGCAGUGAGGAAUAUUGGACAAUGGGCGCAAGCCUGAUCCAGCCAUGCCGCGUGCAGGAUGACGGUCCUAUGGAUUGUAAACUGCUUUUGUACAGGAAGAAACACUGGUUCGUGAACCAGCUUGACGGUACUGUAAGAAUAAGGAUCGGCUAACUCC